AGUGAACGCUGGCGGUAGGCCUAACACAUGCAAGUCGAACGGCAGCACAGUAAGAGCUUGCUCUUACGGGUGGCGAGUGGCGGACGGGUGAGGAAUACAUCCGAAUCUACUUUUUCGUGGGGGAUAACGUAUGGAAACUUACGCUAAUACCGCAUACGACCUACGGGUUAAAGCAGGGUAUCUUCGGACCUUGCGCGAUUGAAUGAGCCGAUGUCGGAUUAGCUAGUUGGCGGGGUAAAGGCCCACCAAGGCGACGAUCCGUAGCUGGUCUGAGAGGAUGAUCAGCCACACUGGAACUGAGACACGGUCCAGACUCCUACGGGAGGCAGCAGUGGGGAAUAUUGGACAAUGGGCGAAAGCCUGAUCCAGCCAUACCGCGUGGGUGAAGAAGGCCUUCGGGUUGUAAAGCCCUUUUGUUGGGAAAGAAAAGCAGCAGGUUAAUACCCCGCUGUUCUGACGGUACCCAAAGAAUAAGCACCGGCUAACUUCGUG
rnacentral:rRNA from 1 species